GGGGGUGGCUGGGGAUUCUUCAAUUGCCCAUCGGGUUCCUUUCAUAAACACGAGGAUGCUUGUCUAAUUCCAGCAGAAAUCCGUGGCCUGACCGUGACACUUGUGCUUAGAGUCUUAGCACAUGGUCUGGCGCUGCUGCUGGGAAUCCUGAGUCACUCUUCUCCUGUGAUUCCUAAUGUUGAAGGGAGUCUCUGCAGAGGAGGAAGGACAGUCUGUCAGGUUAAAUUUGAUUAUUUCUCAAAUACUACUGUCAACUCUGCCAAAUAAUGCAUGUUUUUGAAGUGGAAAUGUAUUAUUUGUAUCCCAUAUCUGAUUUCAGUCUCACAGAAAUUACAUAAAACAGAAGAGAAUGAAUCAUAGAAUAUCAAAUACCAUAACCUUUAGUACAGAAGGACUUUGAGAAUUAUUUCCCUAAUAGGUAAGCAAUUGACAUAAAGACAAGACUGAAUGAAGUCUGAUGUGACAAUUAUACCUAGACCUAACUCUUCUUUUUCUCAGAAGAGCCGACACUUUCCAACACAUAAUCUCCAUCUAAGGCAAUAAGUUUCUGAAAUCUUUCUUCUUGUCUUAAGGUGAUGUCUCUCUUUGCAUCUGAUAAGUCUGUGUGAUUACAAAUUUGUGACCUAGCCUGAACUCAUCACAGAAAAUUUAAUCAUGUUUCAUUAUUGACCUAAUUCUCCAUAGCCACUAGAAUCUUCUUAAAAGAUCCCCAAACAGAGGAUCCCCCUUAAGAAUGACCUUCUUAAAAAUAUGAUUAUGAUGAUACUUUUCUGUAUUAGGAAUUUUUUUUUGUCUUUCUAGGGCCACGCCCUCGGCAUAUGGAGAUUCCUAGGCUGGGGUCCCAGCCUAUACCAGAGUCAUGGGAAUGCCAGAUCCCAGCUUCAUCUGUGACCUACACCACGGCUCACGGCAACGCCAGAUCCUUAACGCACUGAGCCACCGAGCAAGGCCAGAGAUCAAACCCUAGUCCUCAGCUGAAAAUAAUAGAAAAAUCUAACAAUUACUUAAACAGCAUUUUAUUUAUAUCACAUUAGAUGAAGUCUUGCAGCAGAUUUCAAGGCUAUCCAAUGACUCACCAUGCUCAUCAAGGAUGCAUCUUUUUAUAUUUUUCUAUUCAGCCAUACAUAGUAUAUUUGCUUCUUCAUAAUCUCAAAAUCUGCUGAUGUUCUUACCUGCCAGAAUAUAGUCUCACACCCAGCCCCAAACCAAUCACUGGAGAAGGGGACAAGAAUUACCAUGAUUGGUUAACAUCAACUUCUACUAUCUCU
rnacentral:lncRNA from 1 species